rnacentral:rRNA from 1 species
UACUCCUACGGGAGGCAGCAGUGAGGAAUAUUGGUCAAUGGACGGAAGUCUGAACCAGCCAAGUAGCGUGCAGGAUGACGGCCCUAUGGGUUGUAAACUGCUUUUGUAUGGGGAUAAAGUCAAUCACGUGUGAUUGUUUGCAGGUACCAUACGAAUAAGGACCGGCUAAUUCCGUGCCAGCAGCCGCGGUAAUACGGAAGGUCCAGGCGUUAUCCGGAUUUAUUGGGUUUAAAGGGAGCGUAGGCUGGAGAUUAAGUGUGUUGUGAAAUGUAGACGCUCAACAUCUGACUUGCAGCGCAUACUGGUUUCCUUGAGUACGCACAACGUUGGCGGAAUUCGUCGUGUAGCGGUGAAAUGCUUAGAUAUGACGAAGAACUCCGAUUGCGAAGGCAGCUGACGGGAGCGCAACUGACGCUUAAGCUCGAAGGUGCGGGUAUCAAACAGGAUUAGAUACCCUGGUAGUCCGCACAGUAAACGAUGGAUGCCCGCUGUUGGUACCUGGUAUCAGCGGCUAAGCGAAAGCAUUAAGCAUCCCACCUGGGGAGUACGCCGGCAACGGUGAAACUCAAAGGAAUUGACGGA